AUUGAACGCUGGCGGCAGGCCUAACACAUGCAAGUCGAACGAGUGGCGGACGGGUGAGUAAUGUCUGGGAAACUGCCUGAUGGAGGGGGAUAACUACUGGAAACGGUAGCUAAUACCGCAUACCAUCAGAUGUGCCCAGAUGGGAUUAGCGAGUUGGUGGGGGAAAGGCUCACCAAGGCGACGAUCCCUAGCUGGUCUGAGAGGACGAGCAGCCACACGGGAACGUGGAAACGGUCCAGACUCCUACGGGAGGCAGCCGUGGGGAAUAUUGCACAAUGGGCGCAAGCCUGAUGCAGCCAUGACGCGUGUAUGAAGAAGGCCUUCGGUUUGUAAAGUACUUUCAGCGGGGAGGCGUUACCCGCAGAAGAAGCUCCGGCUAACUCCGUGACAGCAGCCGCGGUAAUUC
rnacentral:rRNA from 1 species